UGUACAAAACGUACUCUACUCAGUCACUGUGCUAGGGUGUUUGACCCUUGUGGCUAUCUUACCCCUAUUACAAUUUCUAUUAAAUUACUAAUAAAAUCUCUUUGGAUUACUGGUAUUGAUUGGGACGAAAGACCACCCUCUGACAUUAUUACUAAAUGGAAUAAGUUUAAGACGGAAUUAAAUAAUUUGCAUUUGGUUGAAAUUCCACGUCAAAUAGAUGUUACUGAGUCUAAAUCACACGAAUUGUUUGGUUUUUGCGAUGCGUCAGAACGUGCUUAUUGUGCUGUCGUAUAUAUUCGUGUAUUUUUCUCCCGAGAAUUUCUUUAUAAAACCUACCUUGUCUGUGCCAAAUCUAAAGUAAGCCUUCUAAAGGUAGUAACUUUAGCGCGACUUGAGUUACUUGGCGCUGUUUUGCUUAGCAAAUUAAUGCAUUAUGUUUCGAAUAUUUUCUCACAUAAAAUUAAAUUUAACAACAUAUUUUCAUUUACUGAUAGUUCCGUUGCCUUAACAUGGAUUAAAAGUUCUCCUCACCAUUGGCAAACGUUUGUAAACAACCACGUUUCUUAUAUUCAAGAAAAAUUGCCACCCAAAUAUUGGCACCAUGUUCCCUCUGAACUGAAUCCAGCCGACUGUGGAAGUAGAGGUUUAUGUGUCUCUGAGCUCGCAGAUUUUUCUCUUUGGUGGAACGGACCCAGUUUUUUAUUACAAAACAGAGAGGAAUGGUCAUUUACAAAAUUUGAAAUUCCUAGUAUCGAUUCUUUUAAUUUUGAGAAGAGAAAGACUGUUUUAAAUACUUUAAUAACACAGCAAUCUCCUCAUUUUAUUGAAUCUUUAAUUGAUAAAUAUAAUUCCUUGCCAAAGAUUAAAAGAAUUGUAGCUUAUAUUUUGCGGGCUUCUAAGAAUUUCCAGUCGUUUAAAAUUAAAGCGAUAGUUUUAAAUACUUCUUAUCUUACUUUAUCAGAAUUAAAUAAUGCUCUUUACUUACUUAUAAAAUUCAUCCAAAAUCUCUAUUUUACUGAAGAGAUUACAUUGCUUAGACAUAAUAAACGUAUUUCGAAAAGUCUUCAGAAAUUAAGACCUUUUUUAGAUAAAGAGGGCUACUUGAGGGUUGGUGGUAGACUCCAUAACUCCGAUUUGUCGUACGAUAAAAGAUUUCCCUUGCUUUUACCAGGUAAUUGUAAAUUUACGUCCUUACUUAUAAACGAAUUACAUCUUAAUUACUUACAUUGUGGUAUACAAACCACAUUAAAUUUGCUAUUUCAAAACUACUGGAUAAUCUCAGCAAAGAGAAUAGUUCGUAAAGUAAUCCAUAAAUGUCAUAUUUGUUGGAAGGUUAACCCGAAACCAUAUCAACCCCCUAUGGGUAAUUUACCUAAGUUCAGGGUAUCCGCAAAUUCCAAAGCUUUUAUUAACUGCGGCCUGGACUUGUGUGGACCGUUUCCAAUUACUAUUGGCCGAUUAAGGGGUGCUAAAGUGCAUAAAGCAUACGUAUGCUUAUUUAUUUGCACUAGUACAAAAGGUGUUCAUUUGGAGUUGCUAUCGGACCUUAGUGCAGAGGCUUUUUUGGCGGGACUUCGCAGAUUUGUUGCACGGCGCGGAAAAGUACUUAACUUAUAUUCAGAUUGCGGUACAAAUUUUAUUGCUAGUGAAAAAUACUUACGUCAAAUAUUUUUAAAAUCUGCCGAAGUUGAACCAAUUACGUGGCAUUUUAAUCCCCCCUCUGCCCCCCAUAUGGGUGGUAUAUGGGAAGCAAAUAUUAAGUCCAUUAAAACUCACUUAGUACGGGUAGUAGGAACUCAGAUACUUACAUAUGAAGAGUUUAAUACGGUAAUUAUACAAAUCGAAGCGGUACUUAAUUCAAGACCACUUUCCCCUAUAAGUUCAGACCCAUCAGACUUAUUGCCACUUACUCCUGGACAUUUUUUGACCCUACAACCCUUAACUGUUCUUCCCGAUCCGGACUUUACUAACACAAAUAUUAAUCGCCUUACGCGUUGGCAGCUUUUACUUAGACUGCAUCGUGAUUUUUGGAGGCGGUGGCAUUGUGAAUAUCUACAUACUUUGCAACAAAGAGCCAAAUGGCAUAAUGCAAUAGGUAGAGUAGAGCCGGGUACUAUGCUAGCUAUUAAAGAUGAUAAUUCGGCGCCUUUACACUGGAUUCUUGGUCGAAUCGCGGAAGUUACUUUGGGCAAGGACGGGGUUCCUAGAGUGGCAACAGUACGGACAGCCAAAGGUAUACUUAAAAGACCUUUGGUAAAAUUGUGCCCACCUCCAAACCAAUAAUUUAUUUAUUGUUUCAUGAAAACCCCUUGGUUUUCAUGGGCGCGGGAAUGUUCUGUUCUUGUAGUCAUCUCAAUUUCACUUUAUUGAUUAGUUUAAUACUUAGUUUGAUUUAGUUUAGUUCUAUAAGUUAUAUUCUUAAGUGCAUUCAAAGUAUCGCUUCUUGCUGCUAAUAUUUUUUUGUUUUACAUAAUGAAUGUCGAGAUUUGCCUUGUUUCCUCGCCUCUCCCUAUAAUAUUUCCUUAAUUGCCUAUUCCUUACCUUACUUACUUAUUCUUUACUUUUACUACAAACCUGGUACAUACCCAAAUAAUACGUCACACGCAAGUACCGAAAAGACUAACGCGGGGAAUCGAGGUGAAAACACUCGGUACUAGAUCGUCUUACUGUUAAUAACCAUUUUACGACCAGUAUUCGCGCGGCCUUCCGCAAAAACCUCUUGUGUUAUCCUGAUCUUGACUGACCCCUAGGUUGAUACAGCCACUACAGAAUCAGUAGUAACCGUAGACUGGGAAAAUGGAUUCGUAGAAGCUUCUGCAAAGGACAACGUAAAUGUCAGUAAAGUAUUUAAGGAACUUCUAGCGCAGGCAAAGGU
rnacentral:misc_RNA from 1 species